rnacentral:tRNA from 1 species
GCCCUGAUGGUGGAAUUGGUAGACACGCAGGACUUAAAAUCCUGUGAACGUUGAGUUCGUGCGGGUUCAAGUCCCGCUCGGGGUA